rnacentral:rRNA from 1 species
CAGCCGCCGCGGUAAUACGGAGGGUGCAAGCGUUAAUCGGAAUUACUGGGCGUAAAGCGCACGCAGGCGGUUUGUUAAGUCAGAUGUGAAGUCCCCGAGCUUAACUUGGGAACUGCAUUUGAAACUGGCAAGCUAGAGUCUUGUAGAGGGGGGUAGAUUUCCAGGUGUAGCGGUGAAAUGCGUAGAGAUCUGGAGGAAUACCGGUGGCGAAGGCGGCCCCUUGGACAAAGACUGACGCUCAGGUGCGAAAGCGUGGGGAGCAAACAGGAUUAGAUACCCCAGUAGUCCCUGUCUCUUAUAC